rnacentral:lncRNA from 1 species
GCACAGUCUCCCCCACCACACACCACCUAACUAUCUCUGUAACGUUUCUGUUUCUCCCUCUCGCUUUGCAAAAAUACUGCUGUGAAAGCGGGAGAGUUUAUUUAUAGAGAGAGCACAAGAAAACAAAUGUUUCAUUUGCUGAACUCUAACCUCUUUCGAUAUUAAUGUGUGUGAUAAAUUCGUCCGCUAAAGGCAGGAGAUAAACGAACUGCGUUUAGCCACCGAAUUACAUUCCUUGCUAUCCUUCAGCGAGAAGAGCAACGGAAAUGCUGGCAACUGGCAUUUUGUCUGCACCGCACCUAGCACAUUAUGAGCAAUACCAGUGACUAAUAAUAGCAACUCUGUAAGCAGAUAUUUUAUUCUCAAAAUACCCUAAGAAGGAGCCUGCAUUUCCUUCAGAAACGAUGCCCAGAGUUGAGUUUUGCUUCUGCAGGCUGAUCUGCAUCCUGCAGCUACCUGGAGUCCUAGAGUCAGCAAUCACACUCCAUACGGUCCACCCGCCUGGAUGAAUUCUCAGGCUCUGCCUGUGACAAUCACAUUGGAACUAGUCAAACAGCAUUUGCCAGGCUUGCACUGCCCUCUUACACACCCACAAUUUGGUGAAUUCAGAGCCUAACAACACCUUUGACGAGGCUGAAAGUCAGAAGACCACCGCAAGCUCUGGGCAUCACUUACAAAGGCCUUAUGAGGCAUUCUAGGUCUGCAGAGCCUCAACAAGCUGGUUGUUUUGUCACUUGGACUGCGGGGAUAGGGCUAUUCAUGCUGGCAGGCACAGUAUAUCAUGGAGUAAGGAGA